CAAUAGCGUAUAUUAAAGUUGUUGCAGUUAAAAAGCUCGUAGUUGGAUUUCUGAUCGAGACAUCAGGUCGGGUCCGAGAGGAUCAUGUACUUUGAUUUUGUUUUGAUCAUCCUUGGGGAGAGCAUUUCUGGCAUUCAGUUGUCGGGAUUGGGAUCCUCAUCGUUUACUGUGAAGAAAUUAGAGUGUUCAAAGCAGGCCUCGGCCUCUGAAUACAUUAGCAUGGAAUAAUAAGAUAGGACUUUGGUGGUCUAUUUUGUUGGUUUGCACGCCAAGGUAAUGAUUAAUAGGGAUAGUUGGGGGUAUUCGUAUUCAAUUGUCAGAGGUGAAAUUCUUGGAUUUAUGGAAGACGAACUACUGCGAAAGCAUUUACCAAGGAUGUUUUCAUUAA
rnacentral:rRNA from 1 species